GACUCCGUGGGGUAAGAGCCUCCGAGCCAGGUGUGGGAUAUAAUCUCGUGGUGCGCCGUUUUUUAAGCCCAUCGGAAAAGCGCAGUAUUCGGGUGGGAGUGACCCGAUUUUCCAGGUGCCUUCAGUCACCCCUUUCUUUGAUUAGGAAAGGGAACUCCCUGACCCCUUGCGCUUCCCGAGAGAGGCAAUGGCUCCCCCUGCUUUGGCUCGCGCAGGGUGCGCGCACCCACUGACCUGCGCCCACUCUCUGGCACUCCCUAGUGAGAUGAACCCGGUACCUCAGAUGGAAAUGCAGAAAUCACCCGUCUUCUGCGUCGCUCACGCUGGGAGCUGUAGACCGGAGCUGUUCCCAUUCGGCCAUCCUGGCUCCUCCGAGUCAAAAAGCAUACUCUUAAUCACCAUGCUAUGCUACCCCAAGGCAAAGGCAUUUUAGGAAAAAUAAGGUCAAAUCUUGCAGCUAUCAAUGAAGUAUAUUUUGCAAUUAAUUUACCUCAGUGAGAUCACCAGGAAGUUGCCCUGUGAUGAGUUCUUUAUGGCUCUGUAGAGCCAAAUCUGUUUCCUAAGCAAAAUGUGGACCUAAGCCCCAAUGGGUUCCUUUGAGCAACCUCUGUUCAGAAUCACUGUGGCCAACUUGUCAGCCAAAUGUGCCAGCUGGGAAAAGUUAAAAGAAGGAAAGAAAAAGAGAAAGAGUAAAGGAAAUAAAAAAAGGAAAUAAAAAAAGAAUAGUAAAGAAAAUAAGAAAAGGAAGAAAAGGAAAAGAAAGAAGAAAACAAAAGAAAAGAAAAUUUUCAGCAAUAAAGUGAAGAUAAUGAGUUACAAUGGAAUAAGUAAAAUGAAUUAGUUGACAACAGGAAUGAUCCCACUGUAAGCUGUUGAGUACUUCUGCCGGGAGGAGUAAGAGGGAAAGACCGAGGAAGAAAUAUGCAAGGAGAUAGACUCUAUGAGAUUAGCGAUGGAUUGGAUGAAGGAGAAGUGAUUGGCAGAUGAGAGGAUGAGGGAGAAGGAGGCAAUCAUAAUGACUUGAACAUUUGGUGAAUGGUAGUCUGUACAGAGAGGGGGAAUCCUGGAAGAAGAGAAAACCAGCUAAAAGAAGGCAAAGGUGAUGAAAUUAUAAAUUCAUCUUUGGAUAUCUUGAGUGUGAGAAAACUUUCUAAAAGAGGAUGGAUGAAUCUGAGGUAAAAGAAUAAGUAUGAACUACAUGCUUAACUUGCCAGGUGCAAUGGCUCAUGCCUGUAAUCUCAGCACUUUGGAAGACCAAGGUGGGAGGCUUGCUUGAAGGCAGGAGUUCGAGACCAGCCUGGGCAACAAAGUGAGACCAAAUCUCUACAAAAACAACAACAAAAUAUAUAUAGCCGGGUGCAGUGGCAGGUUCUAUGCUGAAGUGGGAGGAUUGCUUGAGCUCAAGUUUGAGGUUGUAUUGACCUAUGAUCACACAACUGUACUCCAACCUGGGUGACAGAGUGAGACCCUGAUUCAAAAAAAAAAAAAAAAAGAAAGAAAGAAAAAAAAAAAGCUAGACCAGUCAACCAGAUGAAUAAUGAAUAGCAAAUUUUCAUCUCAUUUUCUGAAUAGAAGAGGCUAUGUGUGUGUGUGUGUAUACAUGUGUGUUUGUGAUGCAAGAGGAGACAUCAACAGACCUAAGUGGGGUGGAGGUUGCGUAUGGAGUUAAAGCGGAAGAUACUUUAUUUGUAUUCACAUUGUGUUUAAGGUUUCAAAAGCUCUAAAGAUUUUGUUCCAUUCUUCCCUAUAAUUUCCCUUCCCACUGCCACCAUUCUUGUUCAGAACCUCAGAAUCAUAAAACUAUAUUCCUCGAAAGGGCCCUUAGAAGUUAUUUCUUCCAAUCUCUUCAAUUUUAUAAUAAAAAAUUGGGACUAAAAGAGGAUAAGGGAUGUGUCCAAAGUGCAGAAUUAGAUAGAUGGGAAUCUGAGAACUGUACCCUGGUCUCAUUUCUCUUGGCCUGUCUCCCUUAGAUAGCAAAAUUGACUUCUCAAGUGGUCCCACCAUGUC
rnacentral:lncRNA from 10 species